GAUGAACGCUGGCGGCGUGCCUAAUACAUGCAAGUCGAGCGAACAGACGAGGAGCUUGCUCCUCUGACGUUAGCGGCGGACGGGUGAGUAACACGUGUAUAACCUACCUAUAAUACUGGGAUAACUUCGGGAAACCGGAGCUAAUACCGGAUAAUAUAUUGAACCGCAUUGUUCAAUAGUGAAAUACGGUUUUUGUGUCGCUUGUAGAUGGAUCCGCGCCUGAUUAGCUAGUUGGUAAGGUAGCGGCUUACCAAGGCAACGACGCGUAGCCGACAGGAGAGGGUGACCGGCAACAGUGGGAAGGAGAGACGGCCCAGACUCCGAAGGGAGGCAGCAGUGGGGAAUAGUGCACAAUGGUCGGAAGCAUAAAGCAGCAACGCCGCGUGCGGGAUGACGGACGUCGGGUUGUAAACCGCGUUCGCCUGUGACGAAGCGUGAGUGACGGUAAUGGAUAAAGAAGCACCGGCUAACUACGUG
rnacentral:rRNA from 1 species